rnacentral:rRNA from 1 species
GACGAACGCUGGCGGCGUGCUUAACACAUGCAAGUCGAACGGAAAGGCCCUGCUUUUGUGGGGUGCUCGAGUGGCGAACGGGAGAGUAACACGAGAGUAACCUGACCUUGACUUUGGGAUAACUUCAGGAAACUGGGGCUAAUACCGGAUAGGAGAUCCUGCUGCAUGGGGGGGGUUGGACAGGUUCGGCGGUUGGGGAUGGACUCGCGGCUUAUGAGCUUGUUGGUGGGGUAGUGGCUUACCAAGGCUUUGACGGGUAGCCGGCCUGAGAGGGUGACCGGCCACAUUGGGACUGAGAUACGGCCCAGACGCCUACGGGAGGCAGCAGUGGGGAAUAUUGCACAAUGGGCGGAAGCCUGAUGCAGCAACGCCGCGUGCGGGAUGACGGCCUUCGGGUUGUAAACCGCUUUCGCCUGUGACGAAGCGUGAGUGACGGUAAUGGGUAAAGAAGCACCGGCUAACUACGUG